rnacentral:rRNA from 1 species
CCCUUAGAUGUUCUGGGCCGCACGCGCGCUACACUGACGGAGCCAACGAGUAUUUUCCUUGUCCAGAAGGACUGGGUAAUCUUGUGAAACUUUGUCGUGCUGGGGAUAGAGCAUUGUAAUUAUUGCUCUUCAACGAGGAAUUCCAAGUAAGCGCAGGUCACUAGCCUGCGUUGAUUAAGUCCCUGCCCUUUGUACACACCGCCCGUCGCUACUACCGAUGGAUGAUUUGGUGAGAUCGCCUAGACUGGCAGCUGGCUUCGGCCGUGCUGCCGGGAAGACGCUCAAACUUGGUCGUCUAGAGGAAGUAAAAGUCGUAACA